ACGGAAAAUUUUGCUAUGUAUAGCAACAUCCCUACAUGUUUGUGGAUCAAAUGCCCACAGAUAGUGGAAAGUUGGCAUUUUAUUUUACAUACUUACAAAACAUUCAAUUAAAUACUUUAAUAUGUUUGAAACUCAAACAUAUAAUAUUAUGUCUUAUAAUUCUUAAUUAUCCGGUUAAUAGUGGAAUGUUUCUUGAAAUGUGCAGACGAUAAGCUAUCGCUGAACAGACGUUUAGCACGCUGUUAUGUUAUAGGAAUUGGUGAUAGCCCCGUGUGUCCACAAUGUGAAGCAGCGGAGGAAACAUCAUACCACCUAUUAGGAGUCUGCCAUCACUGGUCGCCUACUAGGAGGCGUGCGCCUCCUUGGGACCUCCCCACUCUCCCGCAUCGAAUUGUCUUCCUCACAGAGGAAGACAAGGUCUUUCUUGGAGUGGAGACGGAUCCUUGCCUUUGUCAAGGAAAGAGAGGUACAGUGGGGAUGGAUGGAGGGGGAAUGGCGAAAACAGCCUUUAAGACCGACUCACCGGCCCCAUCGGGUCCCCCCACAAUACUACUACUUCUACUUGCAUGCAACUAACUGAUAAUAAACUAUUAUUUAAUAA